rnacentral:rRNA from 1 species
UAAACGGGAAGACCCUUACCAGGUCUUGACAUCCUUGAACCAUCCUAAAAAAAAAGGUUUCCCUUCGGGGCCAAAGAGACAGGUGGUGCAUGGUUGUCGUCAGCUCGUGUCGUGAGAUGUUGGGUUAAGUCCCGCAACGAGCGCAACCCUUAUUAUUAGUUGCCAGCAUUAAGUUGGGCACUCUAGUGAGACUGCCGGUGACAAACCGGAGGAAGGUGGGGACGACGUCAAAUCAUCAUGCCCCUUAUGACCUGGGCUACACACGUGCUACAAUGGAGGAUACAACGAGUCGCCAACCCGCGAGGGUGAGCUAAUCUCUUAAAGCCAUUCUCAGUUCGGAUUGCAGUCUGCAACUCGCCUCAUGAAGUCGGAAUCGCUAGUAAUCGCGG